CUUGAGGCAACCAAAUUGAAACAAUAAACAACUUAAAUUAAUUCCUACUGGGCAUUUCACACGGCAUUCAAGAGAGCUAAUUAGCCUCCCACUUGUGCGCACCGCCCGGCGUUAUCAAUGCGACGUACCAACAAACCACAAAUACGCGUGCCAACACACACAUUCACAUAUAUGUAGAUAUGUAUUUUUAUGAUCGCAUUGUAAGCGAGUGAACAUAUGCCCAUACAUACAUCCAAAUGUAUAUUAUUGCACACCACACUUCAACCGACCAACUUCGGGUUGGCUUUUGCACGCGGCACCACAAAACUCCACCAACAAGCGAAACCCGAAUCAAGCGUUUUGAUGUGUAUAAAACCGAGAGGGUCGCCAGUGUGUAGUUCAGUGUAACAGCUUUUGGCGCUUACAAAGCUAAACUUGUGUGAAUAACAAAACUAAAGUGAAUUUCUUCGCUGAAUUUCUUCAAGUGUAAAAGGAAAACACAAACAAAUUCUAACAACAAAAUGGUUUGCCCAUGUGGAAGCGGUUGCAAAUGCGGUUCGGAGCCUAAAACUGGCAACUGUGGCUGCGGUUCGGCGUGCAAGUGUUGUCCCUGCGGAAGCGGUUGCAAAUGCGGCACACAAACACAAAGUGGCAGUUGCGGGUGCGGUUCGGGCUGUAAAUGUGGCCAAUAGUUGGUGGCAUCGGAUUUCAUUUGGAGAAAUAACUGUACCUUAUUAGGUUUAAGUCACAUUGUUAUUUUAUUAAAUACAUAAUUUUAUUAUUUUACUAACCGUAACGGCAUUAUCCCAUUUAUAUUAACAUUUUGUUUAAAUAAAAGCACUUGUAUACACAUAUAAACGAUUGGCUUUCUGUACAAAAAACAAAAAUUAAUUAAUUAAUAAAAAUUAAAUUAUAAAAAAAUAAAUAAAUAA